rnacentral:rRNA from 1 species
GACGAACGCUGGCGGCGUGCUUAACACAUGCAAGUCGAACGGAAAGGCCCUGCUUUUGUGGGGUGCUGGAGUGGCGAACGGUUGAGUAACCCGUGGGUACCCUGCCCUUGCCUUUGGGUUAACUUCAGGAAACUGGGGCUAAUACCGGAUAGGAGCUCCUGUUGCAUGGUGGGGGUUGGAAAGUUUCGGCGGUUGGGGAUGGACUCGCGGCUUAUCAGCUUGUUGGUGGGGUAGUGGCUUACCAAGGCUUUGACGGGUAGCCGGCCUGAGAGGGUGACCGGCCACAUUGGGACUGAGAUACGGCCCAGACUCCUACGGGAGGCAGCAGUGGGGAAUAUUGCACAAUGGGCGGAAGCCUGAUGCAGCAACGCCGCGUGCGGGAUGACGGCCUUCGGGUUGUAAACCGCUUUCGCCUGUGACGAAGCGUGAGUGACGGUAAUGGGUAAAGAAGCACCGGCUAACUACGUG